CGCGUCGAGAUUUGAACCCCGGGCACCUCACAUGCGAGGCGAGCGUGUUACCACUCCUCCACCAACGC
rnacentral:tRNA from 11 species